rnacentral:rRNA from 1 species
UACGGAGGGGGCUAGCGUUGUUCGGAAUUACUGGGCGUAAAGCGCGCGUAGGCGGACCUGCAAGUCGGGGGUGAAAGCCCGAGGCUCAACCUCGGAACUGCCUUCGAUACUGCGGGUCUCGAGUCCGGGAGAGGUGAGUGGAAUUCCGUAGUGUAGAGGUGAAAUUCGUAGAUAUUAGGAAGAACACCAGUGGCGAAGGCGGCUCACUGGCCCGGUACUGACGCUGAGGCGCGAAAGCGUGGGAGCAACAGG